UUGAACGCUGGCGGCAUGCCUAACACAUGCAAGUCGAACGCGAAAGGGGGGCAACCCCCGAGUAGAGUGGCGGACGGGUGAGUAAUACGUAGGAAUCUACCCAGUAGUGGGGGACAACUUAGGGAAACUUAAGCUAAUACCGCAUACGCACUACGGUGGAAAGCAGGGGAUCGCAAGACCUUGCGCUAUUGGAUGAGCCUACGUCCGAUUAGCUUGUUGGUAGGGUAACGGCCUACCAAGGCGACGAUCGGUAGCUGGUUUGAGAGAACGACCAGCCACACUGGGACUGAGACACGGCCCAGACUCCUACGGGAGGCAGCAGUGGGGAAUAUUGGACAAUGGGGGCAACCCUGAUCCAGCAAUGCCGCGUGUGUGAAGAAGGCCUGCGGGUUGUAAAGCACUUUCGGCGGGGAGGAAAAGCUCAAGGCUAAUAUCCUUGAGUCUUGACGUUACCCGCAGAAGAAGCACCGGCUAACUCUGU
rnacentral:rRNA from 1 species